rnacentral:rRNA from 1 species
UACGGAGGGUGCAAGCGUUACUCGGAAUCACUGGGCGUAAAGGACGCGUAGGCUGUUUAGCAAGUCAGAUGUGAAAUCCAAUGGCUCAACCAUUGAACUGCAUUUGAAACUGUAUACCUAGAAUGUGGGAGAGGUAGAUGGAAUUUCUGGUGUAGGGGUAAAAUCCGUAGAGAUCAGAAGGAAUACCGAUUGCGAAGGCGAUCUACUGGAACAUUAUUGACGCUGAGACGCGAAAGCGUGGGGAGCAAACAGGAUUAGAUACCCUGGUAGUCCACGCCCUAAACGAUGUACACUAGUUGUUGUGAGGCUCGACCUUGCAGUAAUGCAGUUAACACAUUAAGUGUACCGCCUGGGGAGUACGGUCGCAAGAUUAAAACUCAAAGGAAUAGACGGGGACCCGCACAAGCGGUGGAGCAUGUGGUUUAAUUCGACGAUACACGAAGAACCUUACCUGGACUUGACAUAGUAAGAACUUUCUAGAGAUAGAUUGGUGUCUGCUUGCAGAAACUUAUAUACAGGUGCUGCACGGCUGUCGUCAGCUCGUGUCGUGAGAUGUUGAGUUAAGUCCCGCAACGAGCGCAACCCUCGUCAUUAGUUGCUAACAGUUCGGCUGAGAACUCUAAUGAGACUGCCUACGCAAGUAGGAGGAAGGUGAGGACGACGUCAAGUCAUCAUGGCCCUUACGUCCAGGGCUACACACGUGCUACAAUGGGGUAUACGAAGAGCAGCAAUACGGUGACGUGGAGCAAAUCUCAAAAAUAUCUCCCAGUUCGGAUUGUAGUCUGCAACUCGACUACAUGAAGUUGGAAUCGCUAGUAAUCGUAGAUCAGCUAUGCUACGGUGAAUACGUUCCCGGGUCU